UUUUAAAGCUAAAUAUUAAACUUAAUAUGCUAUGUAAAUAUAUACAUAUAUACAUUUAAUGAUGUAUUUUUUUAAAACAUUGGCUUGCUUUUAUUUGUUAAAAGUGCAAGUGUUACAUAUGGCUUUGUACAUUAAAGUUGAAAGGGGUUUUACAUUUUCCAUUAAAAGGACUUUAUCAAAAAAUAGCGUGUUCCAGAGUUCUUCCUUUUAUGAUGUGCAUACUACCAAGGAUUCAUCAUCAUGAUGACUACUAAGCAUUUUCUUACAAUGUUCUCUUCUGGGACAUUUUUCCUUUGUUUUAUAAGUUUUGUGCUUUUCUUUAGACUUUAUGGGCCAUCACAAGUGCCUCAACUCAUUUGUCCUAUGGCACAACUGAAAAAAGGAAUACCGGUAACUACUAUUUGUUAUUUAUGAACACAUUUUCAUUGAAAGAAGAAUGCGUAUGUGAAUUUUUAAAGCCAUGAUUAUGAGCGUAUGUGAUCAGUUUCAAGUAAAUGUGUUUCACCACAGAGCUAGCUGAUAAGAUAGUUUUGGGGGUGGGAGGAAGACAGGGGACACAGUGGCCUAAACUCAGCCAGUCUAGGUUGAAUAUGAGUUCUGCUACUUGCUGUGUGACCCUGGUAAGUUGCUUUAAUUCAGAGUCUUCGUUUUAAUAGCUAUCACCAGUUGGUUACUCUGAAGCUCACAUAGACCUAUCCAUUUGAAUGUUCCUGGAAAUAUGUCGUCCUCCACUGACACCUGCAGGAUACUGAAGGGGACAGCCUUUUCUUCUCAUUUGAAAGCACAUAGUUAAAAAGAAAAAAGUAGUUUCAAGAGGUUUUGCUGCUUUUGCUGUUGUUUGAGCCACCUUUUAACUGUACUACAGCCCCUACAAGAGAGGCUGAAACUAAGGCAGAUCAAGCCUGGCAGUGUGGCUUCUUUCAAAACAAACUCAUCUGAUACAGGUAUUCUAUCCAUGGUCUCAAUUCCAUGCUAGUGACCUAAUUCUUGGUAAGGCAGGGUGGAGAGAGUGGACUAUAACGCUUUCAUCAUUAAAGACAUGUGACUUUUUGGAAUGCUGUGAGUUGUUUUACUGGUCACAUCCCUGGUGGAGCGAUUGAUUCCUCUGCCCAUUUAGCUUGUUUCCUUUAUCCUUUUGGUUAGCUCAGAUGCUUCUCACAUAUGAAACCAUCUGAGCAUGUCCGUUUCCUCCAGACGUGACCGAGUACAUAAUAAAUGUGUAAAAUAAUCUUCAAAGAGACUAUACAGGGAAACUUGUGCUGAAUACUCAGAUCCCUCCCAUUUUACUUUAAUUUGGACUUGAAUUUGAAUUCUUUUUCCUGAGUAAUGAUUUACAUGAGUCCAAACCCAUUUCCCUUCUGCCCAGCACAUUCUGGGAUUGGAACACCCAUAAAAUGUGUCGUUUUUGAUGCUUCCCUUUGAUAGAUGGAAUAUGGGUUUGGUGAUAUCUGUGUAAGAUUAGUGAGCUUCAGAAGAAAAAUGUGCUCUCAUACCUUUGUUCUGUGUGUGUACAUAUACAGUGAUGUAAAUUUGGCA